UGGGGGAUAUUGCACAAUGGGCGAAAGCCUGAUGCAGCGACGCCGCGUGGGGGAUGAAGGCUUUCGGGUUGUAAACCUCUUUCGCUAUCGAACAAGGCCCGCUUAGGGUGGGUUGAGGGUAGGUGGAGAAGAAGCGCCGGCUAACUACGUGCCAGCAGCCGCGGUAAUACGUAGGGCGCGAGCGUUGUCCGGAAUUAUUGGGCGUAAAGGGCUUGUAGGCGGCUUGUUGCGCCUGCUGUGAAAACGCGGGGCUUAACUUCGCGCGUGCAGUGGGUAGGGGCAGGCUGGAGUGUGGUAGGGGUGACUGGAAUUCUAGGUGUAGCGGUGGAAUGCGCAGAUAUAUGGAGGAACACCGAUGGCGAAGGCAGGUCACUGGGCCAUUACUGACGCUGAGGAGCGAAAGCAUGGGUAGCGAACAGG
rnacentral:rRNA from 1 species